rnacentral:rRNA from 1 species
UAAGACGUAGUCCUCAAGCGUUAUCCGGAUUUAUUGGGCGUAAAGCGUCUGUAGGCGGUUUUGUAAGUCUGUUGUUAAAGACCAGGGCUUAACCUUGGAAAUGCGGCAGAUACUGCGAGACUUGAGGGCGUUAGAGGGGAGCGGAACGCUCGGUGUAGGGGUGAAAUCCGUUGAUAUCGAGCGGAACACCAAAAGCGAAGGCAGCUCCCUGGAGCGGCCCUGACGCUGAGAGACGAAAGCCAGGGGAGAGAAGAGGAUUAGAUACCCUCGUAUUCCUGGCUGUAAACGAUGGACACUAGCUAUUGGCAGUGUCGACCCUGUCAGUGGCGAAGCUAACGCGUUAAGUGUCCCGCCUGGGAAGUACGCCGGCAACGGUA